rnacentral:rRNA from 1 species
CCUACGGGGGGCUGCAGUGGGGAAUAUUGGACAAUGGGGGCAACCCUGAUCCAGCCAUGCCGCGUGUGUGAAGAAGGCCCUCGGGUGGUAAAGCACUUUCAUGGGGGAAGAACGCCUGGUGGUUAAUACCCAUCGGGAAAGACAUCACUCCCAGAAGAACCACUGGCUAACUCCGUGCCAGCAGCCGCGGUAAUACGGAGGGUGCGAGCGUUAAUCGGAAUUACUGGGCGUAAAGCGCGCGUAGGUGGCUUGAUAAGCCGGUUGUGAAAGCCCCGGGCUCAACCUGGGAACGGCAUCCGGAACUGUCAAGCUAGAGUGCAGGAGAGGAAGGUAGAAUUCCCGGUGUAGCGGUGAAAUGCGUAGAGAUCGGGAGGAAUACCAGUGGCGAAGGCGGCCUUCUGGACUGACACUGACACUGAGGUGCGAAAGCGUGGGUAGCAAACAGGAUUAGAUACCCUAGUAGUC